CGAACGGGUGAGUAACGCGUGAGGAACCUGCCUCAAAGAGGGGGACAACAGUUGGAAACGACUGCUAAUACCGCAUAAGCCCACGGCUCGGCAUCGAGCAGAGGGAAAAGGAGUGAUCCGCUUUGAGAUGGCCUCGCGUCCGAUUAGCUAGUUGGUGAGGUAACGGCCCACCAAGGCGACGAUCGGUAGCCGGCCUGAGAGGGUGAACGGCCACAUUGGGACUGAGACACGGCCCAA
rnacentral:rRNA from 1 species